GACGAACGCUGGCGGCGUGCCUAAUACAUGCAAGUCGAACGAACUCUGGUAAUGAUUGGUGCUUGCAUCAUGAAUUACAUUUGAGUGAGUGGCGAACUGGUGAGUAACACGUGGGAAACCUGCCCAGAAGCGGGGGAUAACACCUGGAAACAGAUGCUAAUACCGCAUAACAACUUGGACCGCAUGGUCCGAGUUUGAAAGAUGGCUUCGGCUGUCACUGUUGGAUGGUCCCGCGGCGUAUUAGCUAGAUGGUGAGGUAACGGCUCACCAUGGAAAUGAUACGUAGCCGACCUGAGAGGGUAAUCGGCCACAUUGGGACUGAGACACGGCCCAAACUCCUACGGGAGGCAGCAGUAGGGAAUCUUCCACAAUGGACGAAAGUCUGAUGGAGCAACGCCGCGUGAGUGAAGAAGGGUUUCGGCUCGUAAAACUCUGUUGUUAAAGAAGAACAUAUCUGAGAGUAACUGUUCAGGUAUUGACGGUAUUUAACCAGAAAGCCACGGCUAACUACGUGCCAGCCGCCGCGGUAA
rnacentral:rRNA from 1 species